rnacentral:rRNA from 1 species
AUGGCGCCCAAGGCCGAGAAGAAGCCCGCCGCGGAGAAGAAGCCGGUGGAGACGGAGAAGAAGCCCAAGGCCGAGAAGCGCGUGCCCGGCAAGGACGGCGGCGCCGACAAGAAGAAGAAGAAGGCCAAGAAGAGCGUCGAGACGUACAAGAUCUACAUCUUCAAGGUGCUCAAGCAGGUGCACCCCGACAUCGGCAUCUCCUCCAAGGCCAUGUCCAUCAUGAACUCCUUCAUCAACGACAUCUUCGAGAAGCUCGCCGGCGAGUCGGCCAAGCUGGCGCGCUACAACAAGAAGCCCACCAUCACCUCCCGGGAGAUCCAGACCGCCGUGCGCCUCGUCCUCCCCGGCGAGCUCGCCAAGCACGCCGUCUCCGAGGGCACCAAGGCCGUCACCAAGUUCACCUCCUCCUAG